rnacentral:rRNA from 1 species
UACGAAGGGGGCUAGCGUUGCUCGGAAUCACUGGGCGUAAAGCGCACGUAGGCGGAUCGCUAAGUCAGGGGUGAAAUCCUGGAGCUCAACUCCAGAACUGCCUUCGAUACUGAGAGUCUUGAGUCCGGGAGAGGUGAGUGGAACUGCGAGUGUAGAGGUGAAAUUCGUAGAUAUUCGCAAGAACACCAGUGGCGAAGGCGGCUCACUGGCCCGGUACUGACGCUGAGGUGCGAAAGCGUGGGGAGCAAACAGG